GGGGGGGUUGGGCGCGCGGCCGGCUCGCCGCGUGCCGGGCAGUUAGGCGCGGGGAGGCGGCCCGCCGCCAUCUUGGCCCCGGCGCCAUCUUGCGGGAGGGUCGCGGUGCCGCUGCUCCCUCCCGUUGGGGCCCCGCCGCCGGCUCCCACCCUUGUCCUUGCCAGGCGGGGCUGUGAGGCCGCUUUCCGCCCCGACAGCACCUCGCGGGGGGCAGCGGGCGGCCCCCGGCCUGAGACAAAGCCGCGAGGCGGCUGCCAAGGGAGGGGGCAGCGCUCGCUGACGGGACUCCGGUCCCCGGGCACCCAGAAAAUAGCGUGGGGCAGCGCCGGGGUGGAGGGGGAGUGGGCUCACCACAGCAGGCGCUCUGAGACAGAAAUUGCUGCCAGAAACCGCUGCAGUUUCUGUAUCUUCAAGAUCAGCCAUGGAGCCGUGGUGUUGUGACAUGGAGCAGUUAAAAUGAAAAACAGUGAAGAAAUGAAUCUGUGGAAUUGAACCCAGGGUCAUUACAUAGUGAUUGCUACUUCAGACCUUGCUCCCGCAAACACUAGGUGCGUAUCCAUUUGUACAGGAGAACAGUCUCAUUGAUCAACGGCCGUAUUGAAGUAUUUGUAGCACCAAGGUCCUAACUGGCACUAUGUGUUAAAAAUACAAUUUACGUACUUUUCGUACCAAAACUGUAGAUAGAGCAUUUACAGUUCAACUUUUCAAGGAAAGAGCACCUUGUCUAGGUUUUAAAUAAAGCAGAUCUAGAUAAUUCA
rnacentral:lncRNA from 1 species